CCCCCCCCCCCCCCGGGCAGUUCAAUUCUGAUGCCUAAUCAAUGUGUGAAGAAUCAAUACCAAAAACUGUGUCAUUUCAAUCUACAAGGUAAAAAGAGACAUAAGUGGACACUCUCGUUUAGGUUCUCUUCCUCCUCUUCCAGUGAGUUUCCACAACAACAGCAAAAAUUACUCAUAUUGCAAUUCGAUCCUCCUUCUUUUGUUGUUUUUUGAAAUGAAAAUCUGAGCAAUGCCAAGGCCAAGGAAGAUGAUGAUGCUUAGUUCGAUUGGAUUACGAGGGAGAGGAGGCUGUAUUAGUAUAAGCAGCUCCUCCAAGGUUAAAGUGACACUUCUAAAAUGGGUUCUAUAAGACUAGUGGUCAAGUGGUUUGGACUAGAGAACGUGUUGAUUGGUGAUGAUCCAACAUCCAAGGCGGUUUGGACUAGAGAACGUGUUGAUUGCUGAUUGGUGAUGACCCAAGGCGCAUUAAAGUCUUCAUCGGUGGAUCCUAAAAAACUUAUGUAGCGAGUCGGUGAGAGAGUGUAUAAGAGGGGUUAAGGUGUGAAUAUGAGAGGGUGUUGGAGUCCGAAAAGUACCGGAGGUGCUCGUAGGCAUAUGGACUUAAGGUGGAUUAGCUUCGUUGAGCGUUCACACAUUAGGCAUAUAGAGUAAGUGUACAGUAACACAUUUCCCUACAUAGUCCCUUGAAAAUCGGGCUUGUGUCGUGUGUUGCCGACUAAUUAAUGACCUGACUUUAAAAAAUAUCUGAUAGUCGAGAAGUAUUUUACAGUGAGAACAAAAAUGGAUGCUAUAACCUCAGUAAAUUUGAAAAAACCUCUAUUCAAAACUCACCUAAAUUUCAUUCAAACUCACCCAAUGGCACUAUGGCAG
rnacentral:lncRNA from 1 species